CGACGUGAGGAACCUGCCUUCCAGAGGGGGACAACAGUUGGAAACGACUGCUAACACCGCAUGAUGUGUUUCGAUGGCAUCAUCGAGACACCAAAGAUUUAUCGCUGGAAGAUGGCCUCGCGUCUGAUUAGCUAGUAGGCGGGGUAACGGCCCACCUAGGCGACGAUCAGUAGCCGGACUGAGAGAGUGGACGGCCACAUUGGGACUGAGACACGGCCCAGACUCCUACGGGAGGCAGCAG
rnacentral:rRNA from 1 species